ACACUAGAGGUAGGUGACACUAUAGAUAGGUGACACAAGAGGUAGGUGACACUAGAGGUAGGUGACACUAUAGAUAGGUGACACUAGAGGUAGGUGACACUAUAGAUAGGUGACACUAGAGAU